AUAUUGUGUGAAAGAAGAGGUCAGUAUUCCAUUUGAUAAAGAUGGAAGAGGCACUAGUGACCUUUACAGCAUAUAUCUGGUUAUGGCAUUGCCAUCUACUCUGUGACAUCUAAUCAUGCAUGUAA